GGGGUCGUUUGGUUUUGACAGCAAGUUCGGGGGAUUGUAAGCAGGUCGGAAAUUGUGAGCCAAUUCCGUUAACAUUCAACUCUCGAUGCCAAUAAACGGCGAAACUUCUUAUGCAUUCGCAGCCUAACGGCCGCGGAUCCCGCCGCCCAGACAAGGUCUGUUGCCGCGGGCGCUUCCCCGGAAGUUCUUCCGUCCAACGUCCGGUCCGAAGUGUCAUAAAAGGACAGAUAGCAAAUGCUGGCUCCGCAGCAGGCGCGAAACUUCAGGAGAUAAGCGGCGGCCAGGUCCGUCUCGUACCAUGCCGUCGCCGACAAUCAAACGAAGACUAAACUUGUAGAAAGCAAUCUUGCGGCUAGUUUGGACGAGGGUUCGACUCCCUCCGGCUCCACUU
rnacentral:tmRNA from 1 species